GAUGAACGCUGGCGGCGUGCCUAAUACAUGCAAGUCGAGCGAAUGGAUUAAGAGCUUGCUCUUAUGAAGUUAGCGGCGGACGGGUGAGUAACACGUGGGUAACCUGCCCAUAAGACUGGGAUAACUCCGGGAAACCGGGGCUAAUACCGGAUAACAUUUUGAACCGCAUGGUUCGAAAUUGAAAGGCGGCUUCGGCUGUCACUUAUGGAUGGACCCGCGUCGCAUUAGCUAGUUGGUGAGGUAACGGCGCACCAAGGCAACGAUGCGUAGCCGACCUGGGAGGGUGAUCGGCCACACUGGGACUGAGACACGGCCCAGACUCCUACGGGAGGCAGCAGUAGGGAAUCUUCCGCAAUGGACGAAAGUCUGACGGAGCAACACCGCGUGAGUGAUGAAGGCUUUCGGGUCGUAAAACUCUGUUGUUAGGGAAGAACAAGUGCUAGUUGAAUAAGCUGGCACCUUGACGGUACCUAACCAGAAAGCCACGGCUAACUACGUGCCAGCAGCCGCCGUAA
rnacentral:rRNA from 1 species